UACGGGGGGGGCUAGCGUUGUUCGGAAUUACUGGGCGUAAAGGGCGCGUAGGCGGCCUACUAAGUCGGACGUGAAAUCCCUCGGCUCAACCGGGGAGCCGCGUCCGAUACUGGUGGGCUCGAAUCCGGGAGAGGGAUGUGGAAUUCCAGGUGUAGCGGUGAAAUGCGUAGAUAUCUGGAGGAACACCGGUGGCGAAGGCGGCAUCCUGGACCGGUAUUGACGCUGAUGCGCGAAAGCCAGGGGAGCAAACGGG
rnacentral:rRNA from 1 species